AACGAACGCUGGCGGCAGGCCUAACACAUGCAAGUCGAGCGCGCCCUUCGGGGUGAGCGGCGGACGGGUGAGUAACGCGUGGGAACGUGCCCUUUGGUUCGGAAUAGCCCUGGGAAACUGGGAGUAAUACCGGAUGUGGUCUUCGGACGAAAGAUUUAUCGCCAAGGGAUCGGCCCGCGUUGGAUUAGGUAGUUGGUGGGGUAACGGCCUACCAAGCCGACGAUCCAUAGCUGGUUUGAGAGGAUGAUCAGCCACACUGGGACUGAGACAUGGCCCAGACUCCUACGGGAGGCAGCAGUGGGGAAUCUUGGACAAUGGGGGCAACCCUGAUCCAGCCAUGCCGCGUGAGCGAUGAAGGCCUUCGGGUUGUAAAGCUCUUUCGUGGGGGAAGAUAAUGACUGUACCCCAAGAAGAAGCCCCGGCUAACUCCGUGCCAGCCGCCGCGGUAACAC
rnacentral:rRNA from 1 species